rnacentral:rRNA from 1 species
UGCCAGCCGCCGCGGUAAUACGGAGGGGGUUAGCGUUGUUCGGAAUCAUUGGGCUUAAAGAGCGUGUAGGCGGAAUGUCAGGUGUCGUGUGAAAGCCCCGGGCUCAACCCGGGAAUGGCGUGGCAAACCGGUAUUCUUGAGGCAGGUAGAGGUGACUGGAACGACUGGUGGAGCGGUGAAAUGCGUAGAUAUCAGUUGGAACGCCAGAGGCGAAAGCGAGUCACUGGACCUGUCCUGACGCUGAGACGCGAAAGCGUGGGGAGCAAACAGGAUUGGAUA